AAGGCUUGAUUGACCUCAGAUCA
rnacentral:rRNA from 1 species